UACGUAGGCAGCAAGCGUUGUUCGGAGUUACUGGGCGUAAAGGGUGCGUAGGCGGUCGGGUAAGUCUGACGUGAAAUCUCCAAGCCUAACUUGGAAACUGCGUUGGAUACUCUCCGGCUAGAGGAAUGGAGGGGAGACUGGAAUACUUGGUGUAGCAGUGAAAUGCGUAGAGAUCGGGAGGAACAUCUGUGGCGAAGGCGGCCACCUGGACCAGCACUGACACUGAGGCACGAAAGCGUGGGGAGCAAACAGG
rnacentral:rRNA from 1 species